CUAAAGGCUCUUUACAGAGCCACCGCACUUGCCCACAAACAGAUGU
rfam:Otolemur garnettii contig189833, whole genome shotgun sequence.